rnacentral:rRNA from 1 species
UUUCACAAGGUUGACCUCGGAUCAGGUAGGGAUACCCGCUGAACUUAAGCAUAUCAAUAAGCGGAGGAAAUCGAAUUCACCGCGCCGCGAUGGCGUCGGAGAC